rnacentral:rRNA from 1 species
CGCAAGCUAUCGCUUAAGGAUGAGCCCGCGGCUGAUUAGCUAGUUGGUAGGGUAACGGCCUACCAAGGCGACGAUCAGUAGCCGGCCUGAGAGGGUGUACGGCCACACUGGAACUGAGACACGGUCCAGACUCCUUCGGGAGGCAGCAGUCGAGAAUCUUCCCCAAUGGGCGAAAGCCUGAGGGAGCGACGCCGCGUGAGGGAUGAAGGCCCUUUGGGUUGUAAACCUCUGUUAGGGGGAAAGAACAGCAGUGGGAGCAAUAUGUCCAUUGCCUGACGUUACCCCCAGAGAAAGCUCCGGCCAACUCCGUGCCAGCAGCCGCGGUAAUACGGGGGGAGCAAGCGUUGUCCGGAAUCAUUGGGCGUAAAGGGCGUGUAGGCGGUUUGGCAAGUCGAAUGUGAAAUCCCACGGCUCAACCGUGGAACUGCGUUCGAAACUGCCUUACUUGAGUGCGGGAGAGGUGUGCGGAAUUCCUGGUGUAGCGGUGGAAUGCGUAGAUAUCAGGAAGAACACCGGUGGCGAAGGCGGCACACUGGCCCAGCACUGACGCUGAGGCGCGAAAGCGUGGGGAGCGAACGGGAUUAGAUACCCCGGUAGUCCACGCUGUAAACUUUGGGCACUAGGUAUUGGAGGUCUCAACCCCUUCAGUGCCGUAGCUAACGCG